UAAAGGUCAAAGUAGCACACUGAAGGUCAAAGUAGCACACUGAAGGUCAAAGUAGCACACUGAAGGUCAAAGUAGCACACUGAAGGUCAAAGUAGCACACUAAAGGUCAAAGUAGCACACUGAAGGUCAAAGUAGCACACUGAAGGUCAAAGUAGCACACUAAAGGUCAAAGUAGCACACUAAAGGUCAAAGUAGCACACUGAAGGUCAAACUGCAACACAGGAUUUAAACAUGCCGCUAAGCACCAUGGGAGAUAUUGUGUGCACUCCUAUCAACCGCUACAACCGAACCAAAACGUAGCAGUUCUUCACAGGCUCCAGUCAACCAGAACCAACAUCUUUAUUGUAAUUGUUUAUUGUGAAGCACCAAAGUGUUAGAAAUCAGGAGAAUAAACUAAAAUCACAAUAAUAAUUAAUAUCUGAUCCAGUCCUGCUGUUUUUAACAUUAAUCACAGCAGAAAUAAACAUUUUACAUAAAACAUGAUCAAAGGAAACGAUGCAGCUUCUCUUCUGGUUCUUUUCUCCUUCAGGCCUGAAUAACAACUUUAGAUUUUAUUAAAAACCCAAAACUGAGGAAAAAUCUCUUCAUAAAAAACCAUAGAGA